UACGGGGGGAGCAAGCGUUGUUCGGAUUUACUGGGCGUAAGGGCGCGUAGGCGGCCAGCGCAAGUCAGUUGUGAAAUCUCCGGGCUUAACUCGGAACGGUCAACUGAUACUGCGCGGCUAGAGUGGCAGAAGGGGCAACUGGAAUUCGUCGGUGUAGCGGUGAAAUGCGUAGAUAUCGAGAGGAACACCUGCGGCGAAGGCGGUGCUGGGCUGAACACGUGACGCUGGAUGCGCGAAAGCCCAGGGGAGCGAACGGG
rnacentral:rRNA from 1 species